CCCGGGUGGCUUUGUGACUACACAUCAUGACGCUGCAUUUUCUCCGGACGUUGUUCGAGGGCUGCGCUGGCCUCUCCACCUCUGAGUCCCCGUGCCCGAUAAUUAACAGAGCUUGGCUGUGGAGUCACUGGAUGGAGACAUUCUUCAGCCUUCAGCCAUAGGGGUCACAUUGUGAGGAGGCCCGCGUCAGACGCUGCGGCUCACUAAGGAAAUGAGUUUCUCAUGGGUUCACUACUGGGCUAUCUCAUCUGCCCAGCCAAUUUGCUUCCUGGCGUUUGUGGAAAGCCAGGCAGCCACUGCCUCUUGGGGAUAACCGUGCUGUUUCAUGAUCGUGGAUAUUUUGGUUCCAGCAAGAGAUGCUGCCUCCCUACCACCCCGAUGGUCUCCGAAGCUGCUCUCACAGCAAAUAUGUGGGGUCCCCAUUCAGACCCCUCCGCCAAACCCCGCCUUACGAAGGGGGCUGCCUGACUUCCGAUCCUCUCUGUCCGUCAGCACAGGCGGCCUUGGAAUCGCACCCUAAGCCUCUGAAAGAAACAGAUGCGACAGCAACUGGGCAGGGCACUUUCGUUGUGGUCGGUUUUUGUUUGUUUUGAGACAAACUCUAUGUGCGGUGAUCCUCCCGCCUAAUCCUCCGAGUGCUGGGAGGACAGGCAUGCGCCACAGCCUCCAGCAAGGCACUUUUCUUGAUUUUCAGUUUCCAACCUAUAAAAGUAGUGCAGGAGGCUGCACACCGACGACAUAAGAUGGUAACCUGUGCUUUCAAGUCAAACUGACCCCGCUUACAUCCCAGCUCUGGGGGGGCCCGGUUGUGUGAUUUCGGGCAAAUUUCCUCGCCCGUGUGCGCCUCGGUUUCUUCCUCUGUGAAAUGGGGGUCACGGUGACGCUAUCAUCUCUGAGAAUCUGUGAAGAUCGCCCCGGGAUGCCCAGUGCGAUGAGCCCCAGACAGCCGGACAGGAGGACACGAGCAGCUUUGUCGUCGGGGUCGAGGACCGGUAGGCUUGGAGUGCGCGCGACUCCGAGGCGGACAGGGUCCCCGGCCCCCACCCCCCGCCGGCCCCUGGGCUCCGGGCGACUCGGCGUCCACUCCACCUACCUCCCCUCGCGGUCUGCGCGACUCGGGAUCCACAGCGGGCACCCGUGUGUGGGGGUCCCCGCCGGGUGCGGCCGGUCCCGCGGCGUCCGCCAGGGCUCCUAAGCUGAGGACUUGGGCAACCCCCUCUCCCGCGUCGUACCUGACCCACGACGGCGACAGCCGGACACCGGCCGCCCCGGCUUCCAGGCACUGCGCGUAGCGCAUGCGCGCACGGGGGCCUCUGGGAACGCGCCGGCUGACGAAGCCCGCGCGCCCCCGCCCGGCCACAACGAAAAAGUGCG
rnacentral:lncRNA from 1 species